GAUGAACGCUGGCGGCGUGCCUAAUACAUGCAAGUCGAGCGAACAGACGAGGAGCUUGCUCCUCUGACGUUAGCGGCGGAAGGGUGAGUAAAGCGUGGAUAACCUACCUAUUAGACUUGGAUAAAUUCGGGAAACCGGAGCUAAUACCGGAUACUAUAUUGAACCGCAUGGUUCAAUAGUGAAAGACGGUUUUGCUGUCACUUAUAGAUGGAUCCGCGCCGCAUUAGCUAGUUGGUAAGGUAACGGCUUACCAAGGCAACGAUGCGUAGCCGACCUGAGAGGGUGAUCGGCCACACUGGAACUGAGACACGGUCCAGACUCCUACGGGAGGCAGCAGUAGGGAAUCUUCCGCAAUGGGCGAAAGCCUGACGGAGCAACGCCGCGUGAGUGAGGAAGGUCUUCGGAUCGUAAAACUCUGUUAUUAGGGAAGAACAAAUGUGUAAGUAACUAUGCACGUCUUGACGGUACCUAAUCAGAAAGCCACGGCUAACUACGUG
rnacentral:rRNA from 1 species